UCCGGGGCACGAUUCUACGGGAGGCAGCAGUGAGGAAUAUUGGUCAAUGGGCGCGAGCCUCGCUAUCUCAGCCAUCCCGCGUGCAGGAAGAAUGCCCUAUGGGUUGUAAACUGCUUUUUCGCAUGAAGAACAUCCCUGACGUGUCGGGGACUGACGGUAAUGCGUGAAUAAGCACCGGCUAACUCCGUGCCAGCAGCCGCGGUAAUACGGAGGGUGCAAGCGUUAUCCGGAUUUAUUGGGUUUAAAGGGUGCGUAGGCGGUACUUUAAGUCAGUGGUGAAAUCCUGCAGCUCAACUGUAGAACAGCCAUUGAAACUGAAGUACUUGAGUAAUCUUGAGGUAGGCGGAAUGUGUAGUGUAGCGGUGAAAUGCUUAGAUAUUACACAGAACACCGAUUGCGAAGGCAGCUUACUAAGGAUUUACUGACGCUGAUGCACGAAAGCGUGGGGAUCAAACAGGAUUAGAUACCCUGGUAGUCCACGCCGUAAACGAUGAUAACUCGCUGUUGGCGAUACACAGUCAGCGGCUUAGCGAAAGCGUUAAGUUAUCCACCUGGGGAGUACGCUCGCAAGAGUGAAACUCAAAGGAAUUGACGGGGGCCCGCACAAGCGGAGGAACAUGUGGUUUAAUUCGAUGAUACGCGAGGAACCUUACCUGGGCUUAAAUGUGCUAUGACCGCCGGAGAAUUUGGCUUUUCGCAAGAACAGAGUACAAGGUGCUGCAUGGUUGUCGUCAGCUCGUGCCGUGAGGUGUCGGGUUAAGUCCCAUAACGAGCGCAACCCUUAUUUCAGUUGCUAACAGGUCAAGCUGAGGACUCUGGCGAGACUGCCACCGUAAGGUGUGAGGAAGGUGGGGAUGACGUCAAAUCAGCACGGCCCUUAUGUCCAGGGCUACACACGUGUUACAAUGGCCGAUACAAAGGGCAGCUACCGGGCGACCGGAUGCUAAUCUCUAAAGUCGGUCUCAGUUCGGAUCGGAGUCUGCAACCCGACUCCGUGAAGCUGGAUUCGCUAGUAAUCGCGCAUCAGCCAUGGCGCGGUGAAUACGUUCCCGGGCCUUGUACACACCGAUAACAGUAUG
rnacentral:rRNA from 1 species